rnacentral:rRNA from 1 species
CACAGGUGCUGCAUGGCCGUCGUCAGCUCGUGCCGUGAGGUGUUGGGUUAAGUCCCCGCAACGAGCGCAACCCCCGCGUUAGUUGCCAGCGGUUCGGCCGGGCACUCUAACGGGACUGCCCGCGAAAGCGGGAGGAAGGAGGGGACGACGUCUGGUCAGCAUGGCCCUUAGGCCUGGGCGACACACGUGCUACAAUGCCCACUACAAAGCGAUGCCACCCGGCAACGGGGAGCUAAUCGCAAAAAGGUGGGCCCAGUUCGGAUUGGGUCUGCAACCCGACCCCAUGAAGCCGGAAUCGCUAGUAAUCGCGGAUCAGCCAUGCCGCGGUGAAUACGUUCCCGGGCCUU